GCGUGUAGUGAAACACAAUAUCCUAAUACAAUGAAAUACGGUAUGAUCAUGUGUCUCAAGUGUUUUUCACUGGAGUCCGGGGCGGGCGACCAUCGUACCGUUAUGAGUCUUAGACGGGGGGGGGUUGCCGUUGCAAGACGCGGGGUGAGCUUGGCGAGUAGGGAGUGGUACCGGUCUCAGGUCUCCCGUUUAUCCCGUUGGAUGUGUGGUUUGCGGGUUUCAGGUGCACCCGUCUAAUGAGUGGCGACGAGUCACACGGCGUCGGUAAUUACCCGUGUCUACCCAAGCCGUGCCUCGUGACCGACGAAGAAAGACGCGGAUGACGUCAAGUCCCAUGGCAGUUGUGCCUCUCUUUUACCCGUUCCAUCAAGGGUACCGGAACACCAUCACGCUAAAAUGGCCGCGACAAUGCGUUGCAAAGCCGCAAGGCGGAGCAAAUCGCCUAAACGUGGUCGCGAGUGCAGAGCGGGGGCUGCAACUCGCCCACGUGAAGACGAAGUUGCUAGUAACCCCGUAAGGGCG
rnacentral:rRNA from 1 species